AAUAUUUUUUUUUGUUUCAGUUUGCGACGUGGAUAUUUGAUUCCUAUCUGUUGAGCCCCCCUAGAGAUAAAAUGUUUAAAAAACUAUCUUACAACCUCGUUUGCGCUCCUCGAGUAGAACCAUCACUAAUUGUGGUACUGUCACCAUCUUCUGGCGGUCAUGCAGAUAUAAUCCCGAAGCUGGAUGCCAUUCAAACCCGCCUCACUGCCAUUGAAAAGUCCCUAACGGACAAAAUGGCAGAAAAGGCCGAGGUGCAGGCACAAAGUAAUUUAUUGCGCGAAUGCCGCGUCAUAGCGGCAAAGACGCAUCAUUCAAUUAGCCGCAUCACCGGUGACUUGGAGGACGAGUAUUACGUGGAGCUCGCUUCGAAACUGCCCAUGUCAUCGGAAGAGCACGUGCGCUUCGUGGGAGACAAACUUUCACAAAAGGAAAGCACGGAUGCUAUAAUGCGGCUAAUAUUGAAGUAAAAGGUCGCAAAAUGCAGUGUGAACGGCGUACUGCGUGGUAUGUUUUCUGACGAUCUAAUGUACCACUACAAUUUAGAGGGGCCCUACAAAAGCUAAAGGUCGUAGGGUUAGUUUUUGAUAUACUUCCUGACAAGGAUAAAAACAUUAUCUGUGGGGAGCUCCGGAGAUUUGUGGCCUUAAG
rnacentral:misc_RNA from 1 species